CAUUCUUUCUGCCUAGAACUACAAGCGAGCUUAGAAGUGCACGUCGUGUGUGGCCUAGAUCAUGAAGAAAAAUGUAGUGUGAUAAGAGCAGUAAAAUUGAAAUUGAUGGCAUGAAAAAAUAGAGGAGAAAAAGGAACCUGAAAAAGAAAAAAAAACACAUAUAACUUACCUGUAACUACGACCAAAGAGAAACCUGAAAAGAGAGAAACAAAAACUACGAAAAAAGG